rnacentral:rRNA from 1 species
CGCGUAGGCGGCUAGGUCAGUCAGAUGUGAAAGCCCCGGGCUUAACCUGGGAAUUGCAUUUGAUACUGCCUGGCUAGAGUAUGGUAGAGGGUAGUGGAAUUCCAGGUGUAGCGGUGAAAUGCGUAGAUAUCUGGAGGAACAUCAGUGGCGAAGGCGGCUACCUGGACCAAUACUGACGCUGAGGUGCGAAAGCGUGGGGAGCAAACA